ACAAGCAGGCAGAGAGGCAGGCAGAGAGAGAGGAAGGGAAGCAGGCUCCCGGCUGAGCAGAGAGCCCCAGGGCUCCAUCCCUGGUCCCUGAGAUCAUGACCUGAGCUAAAGGCAGAGGCUUAACCCACUGAGCCACCCAGGCACCCGAGGGCGGUGAAGUCUGAGCCUCAGUUCCAUGUCCAGUCCUAAGAAGUGGAAGCAGAAGGGGGUUGACGGGUUGUUUGAUGGGGUGGCCAGAGGUUAAGGAUGGCGGAGACUGAAAGUUGAAUGAUGUAAUUACUAAAUGUAAUUACUGAAGGAGUAAUUCAGCUCUCCAGCCUGAAGGGUCCCUUUGGUGCUUCCCGUUGUCAGAAGUUAGAAGGAAGCCCGCAGGAAAGAGAAACGGACCUUCACAGGUGGGACUGUGAAAUGCACUUGGUUAGAUUUUCGACCUUGAACUCAGAGCAUCUUGCUAAUUUAAAUGGGAUUCUGGUAUCUGCUGGCAGAGAGAGACCAGCAAGAGAAGAGAUAAUCUAAUUACCCAAUGAAUUAGAUAACCCAGUUAGAUAACCCAACGUGCUGUGGAAACAAAUGGGUAAGGAAAACCUGGAAGAAAAGGUUUAGCUUGGGGCUUUAAGUUCUCAGCUCAAGUCAAGGUCAAAGAACCAGACGGGUUUUGUGCUGGCUCUGUCAACUAUCUGCAGCUGUGAAACAAAUGACUCUAGAGUUUAGUGGCUCAAAAUAAUAAUAAAUACAUCUCUCUCCCAGUUUCUCGGGGCCUGGAAUUCAGGAGUGGCUGAUCUAGAAGGUUCUGGCUCUGGGUCUCUCCCGAACUUGCAGUCAAGAGACUGGCCGGGGUCCCCAGUCAGCUGAGGCCUUGACUAGGCGGCAGGACCCAUUCAAAGGUUCUGCUUCCCAUGGCUGGAAAGUGGAUGUGAUGUCGAUUUUUCCUAGUUUUCACUUCACGUAUUUCAAAACGUUUUUAGGGGUGUACACAUUUUUUUCCCCAAGAUUUAUUUAUUUGAAGUGGGGCACAGGGGGAGAGGGAGAGAGAAGCCGUAAGCAGACUCUGUGCUCAGUGUGGAGCCUGAUGUGGGGAAGCAGAGCCCAGUGCCCGUGUUGGGGCGCAGAGCUGGUUGUGGGGCUCGAUCUCAUGACCCUGAGGUAAACCGGGAGUCAGUCGCUUAACUGACUGUGCCUCCCAGGCGCCGGUAGGGGCGCACAUGAUUAGACUAGACAAACCUGGUGGUUAGUCAGCUGUUUUAUUACUAUGCAAAUGCUCUUUAUCCUUAAUCAUUUUCAGUUUUUUUUCUUUUGACAGUUUUUUUUUUUUUAAGAUUUUAUUUAUUUAUUUGACAGAGAGAGAUCACAGGUAGGCAGAGAGAGAGGAAGGGAAGCAGGCUCCCCGCUGAGCAGAGAGCCCGAUGUGGGGCUUGAUCCCAGAACCCUGGGAUCAUGACCUGAGCCGAAGGCAGAGGCUUAACCCACUGAGGCACCCAGGCGCCCCAGCAGUGUUGUUUCAGAUUCACAUCAGCGUGGGUUCCAGUUUCUCCACAUCCUCUUCUACACUCAUUUUCUUUCUCUUUUAAAAGAGUAUGGCCAUCCUGGUGAGUGUGAAGUGACGUCUGGCUGCGUUUUUUGCAAGCCUUGACUACUGGACUGUGAGUAUAUUCCCAGCGUCAAGCUGGGAGCAUAAAGUUGGAGUAUAUUGUUUUUAGACGUUCUCGAUUCUACUUGCUGAUACUUUGCCGAAGAUUUUUGCUUAUUUUAUCCCUGAAUGCUAUUGGUGUGAAAUUGUUCUCUUCCUAUACUGUAUCGGAUUUUGUGUCAGGGCCAUUCUGAGCUCCUAAGAUGAAUUCAAGAGUGCUCCCUGCUCUUCUGUUUUCUGGAAGAACUUGUGUAGGUUUGGUGCCUUUCCUCCUUUAAAUUUGCCAAUGACCCCUUCGGGGGCCUGAAGUUUUGUUUUUCUGAGUGUCCUGAACUAUAAAUUCAGUUCAUUCAGUAAAUAAAUGAGCGGUCACAUUUACUGUUUCUUCUUUGGUGAGUUUUGAUUGUGUCUUUUAAGCCACACGUCUAUCUCAUCAAUAUUUAACACUUCUGUGCAUCAAAGGACACUAUCAAGACUGUGAUGAAAAUGUUCUAAAAUCAAACUGUGGUGAUGGUCGCACAGCUCUGUGAAGACAUCAGAAACAACUUUAUAAGUAGUUGACUUGCGUGUGAAUUGUCUCUCCUUCUAAGUGUUAAAAAAUCAAUUAUGACAUCAGAACCGGUUUUGUUAGUGAGGACCACAGCAGCUCUGGAUAUUUCCUUCGUUGCUUGCGUGUCCAUGAGCUAACUGCCCCUCCCUUCCGUUAUCUGAUGUGAACGUAUUGGUGAAGAUGGGGAACUUCGUGAUUUAAGUUGCACGGCACUCCAGGGGAAUCCAAGGGGUGGAUAUGGUGACUCCGGCAUGCUGUUUGUCCCUCCCUUUUAGGAAGAGAACAGUGUGUGCACAAAGGAUCCUCACUCCCUGAUAGGGGGAAGCAAGAAGUUGUUAGACUCGUAUGGAAAUCCAGUACAGUAGAAAGGUGUGUACGGGUGACCACCAGCCAAAGGGUGGACUGUGCUGGUUACUGUUUCAGCCCCAGACCCACUCCACUUUCUGUGAUGCUGUUGCUGGAC